GACGAACGCUGGCGGCGUGCUUAACACAUGCAAGUCGAACGGAAAGGCCCUGCUUUUGUGGGGUGCUCGAGGGGCGAACGGGUGAGUAACACGAGAGUAACCGGCCCUUGACUUUGGGAUAACUUCAGGAAACUGGGGCUAAUAUCGGAUAGGAUAUCCUGUUGCAUGGAGGGCGUUGGAACGUUUCGGCGGUCGGGGAUGGACGCGCGGCUUAUCGGCUUGCUGGUGGGCGAGUGGCUGACCGAGCCUGUGACGGGUAGCCGGCCUGAGAGGGUGGACGGCCACAUUGGGCCUGCGAUACGGCCCAGUCUCCUACGGGAGGCAACAGUGGCGAAUAUUGCCCAAUGGUCCGGCGCCUGAUGCAGCGACGUCGCGUGCGGGAUGACGGCCUUCGGGUUAUGAACCGCUUUCGCCUGUGACGCCGCGUGAGUGACGGUAAUGGGUAAAGAAGCACCGGCUAACUACGUG
rnacentral:rRNA from 1 species